ensembl:lncRNA
CUGUAAAUGUGUCUGUAAGUGUGUCUGUAAGUGUGUCUGUAAGUGUUACUGUAAGUGUGUAAGGGCACUAUAAAGACACUCAAUGUGGCUCCUCCAACCUCCAUCCCCAGUGUGUGUCAGGUGGGGAGGUAAGAGGCGGGGCGGGUUCACCGCCAACCAGAGCCCCACGGGGGGCCAAGCUGCCGUUUAAAAGCUAUUAUAAAUGCUAUGCCAUUAGCGACCGCCUCCAGCUAGCGCUCGCAAUGAAUAGGGGAUGCAAGGUGAAAUUCAUCUUCACAGAGUCAAAGGGCU